rnacentral:rRNA from 1 species
AUUGAACGCUGGCGGCAGGCCUAACACAUGCAAGUCGAACGAGCGGCGGACGGGGGAGUAAUGUCUGGGAAACUGCCUGAUAGAGGGGGAUAACAACUGGAAACGGUAGCUAAUACCGCAUACCAUCUGAUUUGCCCAGAUGGGAUAAGCUAGUGGGUGGGGUAACGGCUCACCUAGGCGACGAUCCCUAGCUGGUCUGAGAGGAUGACCAGCCACACUGGAACUGAGACACGGUCCAGACUCCUACGGGAGGCAGCAUUGGGGAAUAUUGCACAAUGGGCGCAAUCCUGAUGCAGCCAUGCCGCGUGUGUGAAGAAGGCCUUCGGGUUGUAAAGUACUUUCAGCGGGAAGGCGUUACCCGCAGAAGAAGCACCGGCUAACUCCGUGCCAGCAGCCGCGGUAAUAC